GACGAACGCUGGCGGCGUGCCUAAUACAUGCAAGUAGAACGCUGAAGAGAGGAGCUUGCUCUUCUUGGAUGAGUUGCGAACGGGUGAGUAACGCGUAGGUAACCUGCCUUGUAGCGGGGGAUAACUAUUGGAAACGAUAGCUAAUACCGCAUAACAAUGGAUGACUCAUGUCAUUUAUUUGAAAGGGGCAAAUGCUCCACUACAAGAUGGACCUGCGUUGUAUUAGCUAGUAGGUGAGGUAACGGCUCACCUAGGCGACGAUACAUAGCCGACCUGGUGAGGCGAUCGGCCACACUGGGACUGAGACACUGCCCAGACUCCUACGGGAGGCAGCAGUAGGGAAUCUUCGGCAAUGGGGGCAACCCUGACCGAGCAACGCCGCGUGAGUGAAGAAGGUUUUCGGAUCGUAAAGCUCUGUUGUAAGUCAAGAACGAGUGUGAGAGUGGAAAGUUCACACUGUGACGGUAGCUUACCAGAAAGGGACGGCUAACUACGUGCCAGCCGCCGCCGUAA
rnacentral:rRNA from 1 species